rnacentral:rRNA from 1 species
GAAAACGAAGUGGGAAGGCAUAGACAGUCAGGAAGUUGGCUUAGAAGCAGCCAUCCUUCAAAGAAAGCGUAAUAGCUCACUGAUCGAGUCGUCCUGCGCGGAAGAUGUAACGGGGCUCAAACCAUGCACCGAAGCUGCGGAUGUGCGUAAGCACAUGGUAGGGGAGCGUUCUGUAGGUCUGCGAAGGUGUGGUGUAAACCAUGCUGGAGAUAUCAGAAGUGCGAAUGCUGACAUGAGUAGCGAUAAAGGGUGUGAAAAGCACCCUCGCCGAAAGCCCAAGGUUUCCUGCGCAACGUUCAUCGGCGCAGGGUGAGUCGGCCCCUAAGGCGAGGCCGAAAGGCGUAGUCGAUGGGAAACGGGUCAAUAUUCCCGUACCGAUCACAGAUGCGAUGAGGGGACGGAGAAGGUUAGCUCAGCCGGGUGUUGGAUGUCCCGGUUUAAGCGUGUAGGCGUGCUGCAUAGGCAAAAUCCGUGCGGCUUAGCUGAGGCGUGAUGACGAGGU